UUACGGCCAUAUUACAUUGAAACAUCGAUUCCCGUACGAUCCAACAAAGUUAAGCAACGUCGGGCUUGGUCAGAACCUAGAUGGGUGACCGUUUGGGAAUGCCAUGUGCUGU